GAAUAUUGGACAAUGGGGGCAACCCUGAUCCAGCCAUGCCGCGUGUGUGAAGAAGGCUUUCGGGUUGUAAAGCACUUUCAGCGAGGAGGAAAAGUUGGUCGUUAAUAGCGGCCAGCCGUGACGUUACUCGCAGAAGAAGCACCGGCUAACUCCGUGCCCGCAGCCGCGGUAAUACGGAGGGUGCAAGCGUUAAUCGGAAUUACUGGGCGUAAAGCGCGCGUAGGUGGUUUGAUAAGCGAGAUGUGAAAGCCUCGGGCUUAACCUGAGAACGGCAUUUCGAACUGUCAGGCUAGAGUGUGGUAGAGGGUAGUGGAAUUUCCUGUGAAGCGGUGAAAUGCGUAGAUAUAGGAAGGAACACCAGUGGCGAAGGCGGCUACCUGGACCAACACUGACACUGAGGUGCGAAAGCGUGGGGAGCAAACAGG
rnacentral:rRNA from 1 species